rnacentral:rRNA from 1 species
GUGAAGGAUGAAGGCUCUAGGGUCGUAAACUUCUUUUAUCUAGGAACAACCAAAUGAGUGUACUAGUUGAAUAAGCAGCUGCUAACUGCGUGCCAGAAGCAUCGGUAAUACGUGGGCUGCAAGCGUUAUCCGGAAUUAUUGGGCGUAAAGAGAAGCGUAGGCGGCUUUGUGAGUCUUUUGUUAAAGCCCCAGGCUCAACCUGGGAAACGCAAAAGAUACUGCUUAGCUUGAGGCAGAGAGGGGCAAGUGGAAUUCCCAGUGGAGCGGUAAAAUGCAUUGAUAUUGGGAGGAACACUAGUGGCGAAAGCGACUUGCUGGCUCUUGCCUGACGCUAAGGCUCGAAAGUGUGGGGAGCGAAACGGAUUAGAUACCCGUGUAGUCCACACUGUAAACUAUGGAUACUAGGUGUUCGACAUGAACCUUUAUAGACUUCGGUCUAUUUAGGAUAAGGUUGAGUGCCGUAGCUAACGCGUUAAGUAUCCCGCCUGGGGACUACGACCGCAAGGUUA